rnacentral:misc_RNA from 1 species
UACGGAGGGGGCGAGCGUUGUUCGGAAUUACUGGGCGUAAAGGGCGCGUAGGCGGGAUAUCAAGUCAGGGGUGAAAGUCCUGGGCUCAACCUGGGGACUGCCUUUGAAACUGGUAUUCUUGAGACCGGGAGAGGAUGGCGGAAUUCCCAGUGUAGAGGUGAAAUUCGUAGAUAUUGGGAAGAACACCGGUGGCGAAGGCGGCCAUCUGGACCGGAUCUGACGCUGAGGCGCGAAAGCGUGGGGAGCAAACAGG